UACGUAGGUGGCAAGCGUUGUCCGGAAUUAUUGGGCGUAAAGCGCGCGCAGGCGGUCCUUUAAGUCUGAUGUGAAAGCCCACGGCUCAACCGUGGAGGGUCAUUGGAAACUGGGGGACUUGAGUGCAGGAGAGAAGAGUGGAAUUCCACGUGUAGCGGUGAAAUGCGUAGAUAUCGGGAGGAACACCAGUGGCGAAGGCGACUACCUGGCCUGUUCUUGACGCUGAGGCGCGAAAGCUAGGGGAGCAAACGGG
rnacentral:rRNA from 1 species